GUGCCAGCAGCCGCGGUAAUACGGAGGGGGCUAGCGUUGUUCGGAAUUACUGGGCGUAAAGCGCACGUAGGCGGACUGUUAAGUCGGGGGUGAAAUCCCGGGGCUCAACCCCGGAACUGCCUUCGAUACUGGCAGUCUUGAGGAUGGGAGAGGCGAGUGGAAUUCCGAGUGUAGAGGUGAAAUUCGUAGAUAUUCGGAGGAACACCAGUGGCGAAGGCGGCUCACUGGCUCGAUACUGACGCUGAGGUGCGAAAGCGGGGGGAGCAAACAGGAUUAGAUACCCUGGUAGUCCACGCCGUAAACGAUGAAUGCCAGACGUCGGGCAGCAUGCUGUUCGGUGUCGCACCUAACGGAUUAAGCAUUCCGCCUGGGGAGUACGGCCGCAAGGUUAAAACUUAAAUGAAUUGACGGGG
rnacentral:rRNA from 1 species